UUUUUUUUUUUUUUUUUUUUAAUUUGGGAUAUUCAGCUGAGAAAAAAAAAAAAAGUGAUGGAAGAAACAGAAUGCAGAGAGCAAGGACGUUUAACAGGCAGCGGAAUUUUCCCUUCAGUGCUAGUGGCUUUGAUUUGAUGCCUGUCAUGAUGGUUUGGGCAUGGAAAAUUGUUCUCUUGGGCUGCAGUGUGGGGCCAAAUUGAUUUGUCCAUUCCAGGAAACUGAGGGAUGUUGUGGAAGUUGGUCUCUUAGAAAAAAGUUAAAAUCUUUCUGGGAAAUGUUAAGUCUUUUCUACUCUGUUCUAAUCUAUUCUUGUUUUGCUGGAUCUAUUUUGUCUUUAAAAGAUUUAGGACCGCUUUUGUCUUAUACUGUAAAGAAAAAAAUGUGGUUUUCCUGUGCUUCCCUUCAUAUUAUCUCAUGCCUCUCAGUCCAACUUUCUUUUCCCACUGGAUAGGUACAGAAGAAGCUUGGGAGUUGCACAUGGUGGUUCUUCAUCUUUGACUGUAUAGCUCAAAGCUUUUUUUUUUUCUGGUAGUGUCAAGAAAUGUUCAACCAGAAUAUUUCUUCUCUCCAUUGUCAUGCCUAAAUGGAGAGAACCAUUUUCCAUGGACCAAAGUACCUCUUGGAUAUUCAGUGUGAUCAAGACAGAGUUUUGGAUAAAACCAGUGCCAUGUGACAUUGUCCUGCCAGGAGGGACCGGCUGUGGGGCCAUUUUCUCUCUGGCAUUGCUUUUCAGAGGAUUUGCUGUGGUGCUCAUCUUCAGCACCCUGAGAACAAGGGAGGUCAGUCCUUUGUCCUUUCCUUGGAAAAGGCUGGGGAGUGCUUCCUUCAGGCUUUUAUGGAAAACAAGGCCUUGAAGGUGAAGGCUGAGGGAAGAGCUUGGAGCCAAAUGUACAGUUAAUGAAGGAACCUCUUUGGAAAUUGUACUCUGAGACUCUCUGUUUUAACCCAUUUCAUAAAUAAAGGCAUCCAAGCACAGCUGAUGUACUUCUCCUUCCAGCUCAUUUGUGCCUUAAGUGGACUGAAGAUCCAUUUCAUGGAAUCUUGAAGUGGUUUGGGUGGGAAGGGACCUUAAAGAUCAUUUCGUUCCAAUCCCUCCCUUCACUAUCCCAGGUUGCUCCAAGCCACAUCCAACUUGGCCUUGGACACUUCCAGGGAUGGGGCAAUGUCAUGGUUUGGGACAAAUUUGGGAGAAAACUUCCAAAGGGGUCCCUCUAGAAAGCAAAUUCAAGUGGCCUUUCCCCAAACUGGUUCAGGAAAAGAUUUCCUUGGCAGAAAGUGGAAAAACCCCUGUUUUUUAACAAAGAAUUCACAAGCAUAAAAAAUGAAUAAUUUUAAACAAUAAAACCUCUUGCUGUUCUGAAGAGAUGGCAAAUUUAGAAAGAACUUUUUGUGGGGUGUAGCUUGCUUCACUCAGUCUGUUAUCAGUCCUUCCAGCUCUGGAAAAUGCCAUAUCCUGGGCCCCAGUGGGGUAUAGGUGUGAGCUCCUGGUGUUUUUCUGGGUUUUCAGUCCAGGGAAAGACCGAAAGAAAAGAAAAGCCACAGCCCAGGGAACAUUCCUGCCUCAGCUAGCUAAAAGCAAAGGAGAGCUCUCUCCCACUGUCUGUGCUGCAGACAACACAGUCCAGGAGAAGGAGCAAGUGCAGCCUCUGAUAACAAACUGAACUUCUUCUCCCCUCCUUUGCUCUCAGAACCACUCUAAAGGUGCAGAACUUAAUAUCCAGCAUAAACAGAAGAGAUGGUUGGGGUACAAGCAUCAUAAAGCCACCCUAGAACAGGCAGCUACAGCUUCUCUGGGCAACCUGUGCCAGGACAUCACCACCCUCACAGGGAAGAAUUUCUUCCUAACAUUAAAUCUGUAUCUCCCCUCUGUCAGUUUUAAGCCAUUCCACCUUGUCCUGUCACUCCAUGCUCUUGUCCCAAGUCCCUCUCCAGCUCUCCUGGAGCCCCUCAAGGCAACAGAAGGGGUUCUAAGGUCUCCCUUAGGGGCCUUCUCUUCUUCAGGCAGAACAAUCCAAACUCUCUCAGCCUUUCCUCAGAGAAGAGGUUCUUCAAUCCCUCUAAUCAUCUUUGUGGCCUCCUCUGGACUCAGUCCAACAGUUCUGUAUUAUAUUUUAUCUGCUCUUCUCUGGAUCACUGAAUCCUGUGAGUCUGAAUACCCCUGGACUGUGCACUUGAAGAGCACAUGAAUAGCUUGACCCAUGUUUUGCCCAGCUCAGCACAAGUGGGAGGAUGUCUAAUGUUUUUGCAGUGCCUUAAUGUCACUCCUAGCCAGCCCACACAUGGCCUUGCACUGCAAUGAGCAGAGGUGACAGCACAAAGUGGAGGCAGGAGUGCUGGAACAGCAUGUGGGAAUGCAAACAUAAACCUGUGGGAAUGCAAAUACACUUUUGCAUGCACACAGUGGGGUGUUCUGAGCUCUCAUCAUUGUGAGGCCAUGGGCAAAGG
ensembl:lncRNA